rnacentral:rRNA from 1 species
CGGACGAACGCUGGCGGCGUGCUUAACACAUGCAAGUCGAACGGUGACGAGGAGCUUGCUCCUCUGAUCAGUGGCGAACGGGUGAGUAACACGUGAGCAACCUGCCCCAGACUCUGGGAUAACAGUUGGAAACAGCUGCUAAUACCGGAUACGAGACGGAGAGGCAUCUCUACCGUCUGGAAAGUUUUUCGGUCUGGGAUGGACUCGCGGCCUAUCAGCUAGUUGGUGAGGUAAUGGCUCACCAAGGCGACGACGGGUAGCCGGCCUGAGAGGGCGACCGGCCACACUGGGACUGAGACACGGCCCAGACUCCUACGGGAGGCAGCAGUAGGGAAUAUUGCGCAAUGGGCGGAAGCCUGACGCAGCGACGCCGCGUGAGCGAAGAAGGCCUUCGGGUCGUAAAGCUCUGUCCUUGGGGAAGAAGGCGAAAGCUUGACGGUACCCAAGAAGAAAGCCCCGGCUAACUACGUG